AGAGACCUGAAGAGAGAGGCAGGGUCUGAUCCUCAGCUUCUGUGGCAGCUGUUGAUCAGCUGUUGCCUCUCUCUUUCUCUCCAGGC